AUUGAACGCUGGCGGCAUGCUUUACACGUGCAAGUCGAACGGCAGCGCGGGCUUCGGCCUGGCGGCGAGUGGCGAACGGGUGAGUAAUACAUCGGAACGUGCCCAGUAGUGGGGGAUAGCUCGGCGAAAGCCGGAUUAAUACCGCAUACGACCUGAGGGUGAAAGCGGGGGAUCUUCGGACCUCGCGCUAUUGGAGCGGCCGAUGGCAGAUUAGCUAGUUGGUGGGGUAAAGGCCUACCAAGGCGACGAUCUGUAGCUGGUCUGAGAGGACGACCAGCCACACUGGGACUGAGACACGGCCCAGACUCCUACGGGAGGCAGCAGUGGGGAAUUUUGGACAAUGGGCGAAAGCCUGAUCCAGCAAUGCCGCGUGUGUGAUGAAGGCCCUCGGGUUGUAAAGCACUUUUGGCGGGAACGAAAAGGACUGUGCCAAUACCACGGUUCGAUGACGGUACCCGCAGAAUAAGCACCGGCUAACUACGU
rnacentral:rRNA from 1 species